AUGUGGUUAAUUGCAGUGUAAUUAUCUCCCCCCCCCAUAAAAAUCCCCCCUCAAUGAUAACAUUUAAUUUCAAGUAUGAGUUGUGCUGCCUCCCACCAAGCACAGAGUAACCCCAGCAGCUGAGCAGCCUCUGCACGCUCUGGGUUUUUCCUCUCUAAUGAACAAGGGCUGUGAGCUAGGAAGGGUCUCCUUGGUCACUGCCAAAUCUUUUCACGUGCAGCACAAGAUGUUAGCAGUUUAGUUAAUUUUUCUCCAGAGCCUUUUCUCAGCCAUGGUUAGGCCUCCAGGGAGGACAUCCCACAUCUUUCCAGCCUGGAUGUCACUGUACUAAGCGACACUUUUUGUUUCCCAUCUUGAAAGCAUAGCUGGCACAGGAAUGGAUCUGGCACAGGAAUGGAUCUGGCACAGGAAUGGAGCUGAUACAGGAAUGGAGCUGGAACUUUGGAGUAAAGGUGAUCUGCCCAAGAGCUGCAGGACCAGCUGCAGCCCCCAUGACAUGAGGUGCACCUUUUAACUGUCUGGGCUACUUUUGGCCUGAGAGGAGGUGUCAGCUGCUCUGCUCUUGAGGCUGUGGAUUUGCCUUGUUUGCCAGCCACAGCAUCCUUCCCCCCCGCAGCUGUCCCCUCGCAGCGGAUGUCAGCCAGAGCUGGAAGUGGUUCUCCAUCAGAUGUUAAGAUAAAUCAAUCUGGUUCAAAUCACGCAGCGUAAACUGAUCAAAGCCGAAAGUAAAACUCCGGUAAUGAGGACAAAAGAUGUCAUUUUCAUUCAUAACAAUACUGAGCUCUCCAGAAAAGGGGAAAAAUAAUGCCCUGGAGCGUGCUGGCAACAAGUGCUCAGCACCAUCUUCUACCUAAUUGUUUCCACUUUCUGAGCACUCCGCCGUCAGCAUCGCUGCCUGCCCUCGCCAUGCCAUCAACCACCACCGCUCCUAUCCCAGCCCUCCAGCCGGGACGUGCCUGGCAUCGCUCUCUUAGCGAGGUGAAAGAGAAGUGGGAUGGCUCCAGGAGGUAGAAAACCUGCUUCUAAAUGUAAAAAAGCAAUCUCUCAACCCAAUCCUAAAUCCUGGUGGAUUCUAUUUAACAUAUAUAUAAUGUUGCUGAGGUGGGAUGGCUCCAGGAGGUAAAAAAAACAUGUUUCUAAAGGUAAAAAAAAAAGCAAUCUCUCAACCCAAUCCUAAUUCCUGGUGGAUUCUAGUUAAUAUACAUAAUGUUACUGAAGUGGGGUGGCUCCAGGAGAUAGAAAAUCUGCUUCUAAAGGUAAAAAAAAAAGCAAUCUCUCAACCCAAUCCUAAAUCCUGGUAGAUUCUAGUUAAUGUAUAUAUAAUGUUGCUGAAGUAGGAUGGCUCCAGGAGGUAGGAAACCUGCUUCUCAAUGUGAAAAAAAAGCAAUCUCUCAACCCAAUCCUAAUUCCUGGUGGAUUCUAGUUAAUCUAUAUAAUGUUACUGAAGUAGGAUGGCUCCAGGAGAUAGAAAAAUUGCUUCUAACUGUGGAAAAAAAAGCAAUCUCUCAACCCAGUUCUGAUUCCUGGUGGAUUCUAGUUAACAUAUAUAUAAUGUUGCUGAAGUAGGAUGGCUCCAGGAGGUAGGAAACCUGCUUCUCAAUGUGAAAAAAAAGCCAUCUCUCAACCCAAUCCUAAUUCCUGGUGGAUUCUAGUUAAUCUAUAUAAUGUUACUGAAGUAGGAUGGCUCCAGGAGAUAGAAAAUUUGCUUCUAACUGUGAAAAAAAGCAAUCUCUCAACCCAGUUCUGAUUCCUGGUGGAUUCUAGUUAACAUAUAUAUAAUGUUGCUGAAGUGGGAUGGCUCCAGGAGAUAGAAAAUCUGCUUCUAAAGGUAAAAAAAGAUCAAUCUCUCAACCCAAUCCUAAUUCCUGGUGGAUUCUAGUUAACAGAAAUCAUUUUACUGAAUCCCCCCCCUCCCCAAGUCUUAUUUUGAUGCGUUUGGUGCUCCUGGCAAAGCAGCGGCUGGGGUUGUAGCGUGGAGGCGAGCUCACAGGCUGUGCAGCUCGUACCUGAUGCCUCCCCAGUCCCGUACAGAUAAAUAAAUGGCUGUCAUUUUAAACCAGCCCUAUUAUGUUUUCCAAGCAAUAGUUCAAAUUACACGGCCCAGCAACAGCUUACAAGAAAUCCAUCAGAAUUGGAAGGGGAGAAUAAAACUGCCAUUCUCUCUACCUGUUUGUGCAGCUCCUUGCUAAUGCGGGGAGAGCCCGACUGUUUAUUUGGAGAAGUAAAGUUGUGGAAAUAUC